GGAAUCUUCGGCAAUGGGGGCAACCCUGACCGAGCAACGCCGCGUGAGUGAAGAAGGUUUUCGGAUCGUAAAGCUCUGUUGUAAGAGAAGAACGUGUGUGAGAGUGGAAAGUUCACACAGUGACGGUAUCUAACCAGCAAGUCACGGCUAACUACGUGCCAG
rnacentral:rRNA from 1 species